rnacentral:rRNA from 2 species
GAACUGAAGAGUUUGAUCCUGGCUCAGAUUGAACGCUGGCGGCAUGCCUUACACAUGCAAGUCGAACGGCAGCACGGGGGCAACCCUGGUGGCGAGUGGCGAACGGGUGAGUAAUACAUCGGAACGUGUCCUGUAGUGGGGGAUAGCCCGGCGAAAGCCGGAUUAAUACCGCAUACGAUCUACGGAUGAAAGCGGGGGAUCUUCGGACCUCGCGCUAUAGGGGCGGCCGAUGGCGGAUUAGCUAGUUGGUGGGGUAAAGGCUCACCAAGGCGACGAUCCGUAGCUGGUCUGAGAGGACGACCAGCCACACUGGGACUGAGACACGGCCCAGACUCCUACGGGAGGCAGCAGUGGGGAAUUUUGGACAAUGGGCGAAAGCCUGAUCCAGCAAUGCCGCGUGUGUGAAGAAGGCCUUCGGGUUGUAAAGCACUUUUGUCCGGAAAGAAAUCCU